rnacentral:rRNA from 1 species
AUACGUAGGGGGCGAGCGUUGUCCGGAAUGAUUGGGCGUAAAGGGCGCGUAGGCGGCCCGUUAAGUCUGGAGUGAAAGUCCUGCUUUCAAGGUGGGAAUUGCUUUGGAUACUGGCGGGCUUGAGUACAGGAGAGGAAAGUGGAAUUACCGGUGGAGCGGUGAAAUGCGUAGAGAUCGGUAGGAACAACAGUGGCGAAGGCGGCUUUCUGGACUGAAACUGACGCUGAGGCGCGAAAGCGUGGGGAGCAAACAGGAUUAGAUACCCUGGUAGUCCACGCUGUAAACGAUGAAUGCUAGGUGUAGGAGGUAUCGACCCCUUCUGUGCCGGAGUCAACACAAUAAGCAUUCCGCCUGGGGAGUACGGCCGCAAGGUUGAAACUCAAAUGAAUUGGCGGGG